AAAAACAUUUAUUUCCACUUACAGAGCAAAAACUUGCCAACAAAAUCAAGUUGAUUGAUUGAUUUUAGUUUUUAUUAAGUCAUCCAGGCCUGCUACAGCCACAGUCUUCAUGUUAAAAUCUACUACAAUUUCAUUUAGCAAACAUUAAAGAAAAUCAUACAAGCAGAUGCCAUACUCUUAAAUUUCUUGAAGCUACAAUUGACUUGUAAUAAAAUCCCCCAGUGCAUUACAAAACAGGGCUGUCAAGUCAUAACAGCUAUAUUACAGCUUCUGCUUCAGUCUCUGCUAGUCUUUGUACAGACUGCCAAAAUUUUCACCUACCCAAGGGAAGUUAUAUUCAACAACAGAGAAGAGGAAAUUGUGCUCAGAUGAGUUGUUCUCUUGCUGAACAGAUUGCACAGGUUGUUCUCUCAUUACUAAAAUGGUGAGGGUGGGGGGCUGAGAGAAAGGGAGAGAAAAGCCACGGACUGAUGAGCAGCAGGAGAGCAAUGUGCAAUUUUGGUUUUUCCCCCACUUUGCAACUCUCACAGUAUGUCAAUAUUUUGUAACAAUAACAAGGCAAGGCUGAGCAACCCAGUGGCAGAGGGACCAUACUGGAUGGGAAUUGGCCCUGAUUCUGGCAUUAGCAGAAUUAAUGUCCACCUGGGACACUCACAGCAACUCUUGUUAUUUGCCCGUGCCUCCAUACCAGGGAAAUAGGAACAGUGAUACUUGUCUUUUAGACCAAAGACUUUUCAAGAGUAGGGGCGGGGAGUGCUGUGUGACUACGGGUGAAUCAUGCAGUCUGAAGCCAAAAAGACAGCGAGGUUUUCUGCCUUCAUCCACGCCUCAUUUACACCAAAUAAUUUUUGUGAGAUCCCAAUCUACCACUUUCUUAAAAGACAUCAGUGACAAAGGUUUCAUGACUGCUUUUGCUGCUGAUACUGAAACAUAGCUAGCAUUCGAGUGAAAACUUCUGAAUUAUUCAACAGCUACACCCAUCAUUGUAUUUGUUUUUCUAUUUCCUAUGAUUUAAUCAGCUCUACCCUCUUAUAAAGCUGACUUAACACACAUUGGAAAGUUUGAACAAAAGGAAGAAAAUCUCCAGUUGUUAGGUUACAAAGUGGGCCUGAGAUCUUCCAAAAUGCUAUGACAAAACCAACAAGAACCAAAGCUACUGAGCUCUUAACUAAGUCAG
rnacentral:lncRNA from 1 species